rnacentral:rRNA from 1 species
UACGUAGGGGGCAAGCGUUGUCCGGAAUCAUUGGGCGUAAAGCGCGCGUAGGCGGCCAGAUAAGUCCGGUGUGAAAGUCACAGGCUCAACCUGUGAAUGCCGCUGGAAACUGUCUGGCUUGAGUCCGGAAGGGGCGAGUGGAAUUCCUGGUGUAGCGGUGAAAUGCGCAGAUAUCAGGAGGAACACCAAUGGCGAAGGCAGCUCGCUGGAACGGUACUGACGCUGAGGCGCGAAAGCUAGGGGAGCAAACGGG